CGACCAUGUGCGCCAAUUUCAAGCCUAUCUGCUAGAAAUUUGAUCUCUUCUGUCACGAUGGUUACAAAAUGCUGAUAGAGAUGUAUCUGCCGAAAUUAACAUUAAUCGUUGAUUUACGAGCACUGUUUUCUCAAGUAGCGGGCAGUUUGCGUGGGCCAAGUACAAUGUACUUGCACUUCCAACGGCCAAUUAAGAGAGACAGAGGAUGUUCAAAGUUCAAAAGAAGAACGCAGUUUACUGCUUUUCUUUAAAAAAAAGUUUGAUCAAUGCAUUGCUAGGUGCAAAUUUUAAUAACGAGCCUUAAUUUCCAAUGUAGUUGUUUAAAUUAAAUUCAAGCAGUUUAAAUUCUCCAGUGUGCCGCCCAAAAUAGAAAGUGGUUAGAGAGUCUGACUGCCGUACUGAAGGGUCCAUGUUUGAAUCCCGGAUAAUAACUAAGUUUAAGUUGUUUGUCCCUUCAUAGGAGGUAACGGUGGACUCCAUAUUAGCUAUAUCCAUACUACAGUGACCGACGCUUCCGGCCUUAGCAGUGGUCAACGCCUGUAAAAGGUUAAGAUCCGCCAUUGGACCAAAAAAUAAUUAUAGAUUUGCCUCAUUGGUUAAAUGGCUGAAACGCACCAAAAAUUGUCCUACGCGUUUUAGUUUCAAUCAUCAUUUCAGUUUUCUAGAAAGAUUUAAAUGCUUCAGAAAAUUGUAAUAAAUUGCUUCUGUUAUUUUAUGCAAGUUCCAAUAAUACUAGGAAAAUGCAAUACAUUAUUUUGAAAUGUUUACUUUUUUAUUCUAAAUAACAGUUGCGAUACUUGUUUAUCUGUUUAUACUUAAAA
rnacentral:lncRNA from 1 species